GGGGGCGAAUUGGAUUCGACGUGGGUUGCGAAACUCCGGGUGCAUGCCGAGGGACAGAUCACCUCGUAAAACCAGCUGUAACACUUAUAGUUGCCAACGACGACAACUACGCGCUAGCUGCUUAAAAACCAGCUCAACGCCCUCUGCCCGGCUCGUGCUUGUGCGGCCGGAUCCCAGGGGUCACCUACACAAGACCGCGGCAAGGACAUGUUCAGGGUCUGAACCGUUAAAUCCUUACUGAGCUGGUUUCAGGUCUUCCCUGCCCGUCGGGUAGCCUGCGAUGAGAUUAAAGACGGAAUAAGCAUGUAGACCUCGUAGCGGAGGACUUGCGGACGCGGGUUCGAUCCCCGCCGCCUCCACCA
rnacentral:tmRNA from 1 species